rnacentral:rRNA from 1 species
AGUAACGCGUGAGCAACCUGCCUAUGACAGUGGGAUAGCCUCGGGAAACCGGGAUUAAUACCGCAUAAAAUCGUAGAGACACAUGUUUUAACGGUCAAAGAUUUAUCGGUCAUAGAUGGGCUCGCGUCUGAUUAGCUAGUUGGUGAGAUAACAGCCCACCAAGGCGACGAUCAGUAGCCGGUCUGAGAGGAUGAACGGCCACAUUGGAACUGAGACACGGUCCAA